AAUCCAUAUUCUGGACAUUUCUGCAGGAGAUCCUUUAACCUCUCCCAUAUCUCAAAGAGAAACUCCAAUUCCAUUUGUACAAAGGAAGAUAUCUCAUUCCUGAGCUU